rnacentral:sRNA from 1 species
UUUAUACCAAUCAAGAUUAUAAAAUUUUGGUUUCCCUACAAUUUAGAAAAACUAUUUUGUUGUAGUUUUUGAUUCAUGAUUUUAAUUUUAUAGUUUUCCUAAAACUUAGGGAAUCUAGUUUUUACUCCAUCAACGUUAUUUUUCUCAAAAACUAAAAACCAAUUUUUUGGGGUUUUUAAAACAAAAAUAUAAUAACAAAAAUCUAAAACUAAAAUCUAAAAUCUAGAAACUAAAAUCUAAAUCCAAAAACUGAAUCGAAAAUCAGCAUCCAUUCAGGGUCUAAACCAAAAAUAAAUCAUCGAAUCAUAAAUAAUUUUUAGUUUUGAUGGAUUUUUGAGAAA